UGAGCCAAUUAAACCUCUUUUCAUUAUGAAUUACCCAGUCUCAGCAACCAUGAGAACAAGCCUGAGCUAAACUGCUGGAUGAUAAGCGACCAGUGUCCCAGUCACCGACUUCACCAUAACUAAUAACCUGCUUAAUUGUCAGGCAUGCGAGUGAGCUCACCCUUGACCAGCCUGCCCUAGCUGACCCCUCCAGCUGACUGCACCCUCUUGAGGGUGUGUAGUCACUGUUUCAGGCCCAGCUGAAGUCAAUAGAGACCAAUUGAGCCUGGCCCAGAUGACUUAUCAAUUUGUGAAUAAAGUUCUUUCUGUUUGAAA